rnacentral:ncRNA from 1 species
CUUAUCAAGAGAGGUGGAGGGAACGGCCCUGUGAAGCCCGGCAACCUGCAUAUGCAAGGUGCCAAAUCCGGCGGUGACGAAAGAUGAG